UUCGGAUUUUCAUUAUUAAAUAACAAAAUGGAAAAAAUUAAUGAAGUUUUGUUGGACUCUGUAACAACUAUUUUCAUUUUGCCAUUUAUGAUGGUAGAGUUGAAAAAAGUAAACAAGAAAUAACAAGGCAGAAUUUACACUGUUUCUUAUUGGAAACAAGAUGGAACUGAUAUUGAACUGUCAAAAGAUUAAAAACUCCAGCUAGUUGCUGUUGUUAUAUCAGGGAAGUUUAAAUUUUUUUAAUUGGAGUAUGAAAUUAAUGUAUAAAUGCUCACAGUAUAGCAAGUUUUGUAACCAGCAAAAUAACUGCCCCAAGUUUUAUGGCUUGCAAAUAGGUUUUGCAAGUUUUGUGGCUUGAAAAUAAGUACAACAAGUUUUUUGACUAGCAAAUAAGUACCACAAGUUUUGUUGCUUGCAAAUAAGGUACAGCAAGAAUUGUGGCUUGCAAAGAGGUACCACACGUUUUGUGGCUUGCAAAUAUAGUACAACAAGUUUUGUAGCUUACAAAUAGGUAUUGGAAGUUUUGUGGCUUGCAAAUAUGUACUGCAAAUUUUAUGACUUGCAAAAUAAGUAUCGUAAGUUUUGUUACUUGCAAAUAAGGUACAAUAAGUUUUGUGGCUUGCAAGUAGGUACCGCAAGUUUUGUGGCUUGCAAAUUGAUAGUUGACUCUGGCUUACCUUUUCGUGGUGUCUAUUGUUAAAAAUUAUUCAUUUUGUUUCGUUAAUGUAAUUUAAAAAUUAAAUUAUUUACUAGAAGCCCAGACAAGAAAUAAUUACAUUUUUUAUUUCAAAAAAAUUGUUUUUUUUUGUGUGUUUUUUUCUCAGGUUGGAGCGGUUAAUCUGUUCCUUUACAUGAUAAUGUAUACUCAGAUGCAUCUUGUAAUGUGAAAUUGCAAGUUUCCAAAUACAUGCAAAGUAAAACUGUUGGCGACAUGGCACAUGUAUUAAAGUUUUCUGUCACGGUUGACUCAGCAAGAAUGAAGACAUUGAUACACUUUUGCAUUAUGGAAUACACAAGUUGGCAGUUCCUCGCCCACUGCCACCCAAAUACAGGUA